UACGAAGGGUGCAAACGUUGCUCGGAUUUACUGGGCGUAAAGGGCGCGUAGGCGGCCACGACAAGUCAGUUGUGAAAUCUCUGGGCUUAACCCAGAAAGGUCAACCGAUACUGCGGGGCUAGAGUGCAGAAGGGGCAACUGGAAUUCUCGGUGUAGCGGUGAAAUGCGUAGAUAUCGAGAGGAACACCUGCGGCGAAGGCGGGUUGCUGGGCUGACACUGACGCUGAAGCGCGAAAGCUAGGGGAGCGAACGGG
rnacentral:rRNA from 1 species